rnacentral:rRNA from 2 species
UACGGAGGGUGCAAACGUUGCUCGGAAUCAUUGGGCGUAAAGCGCACGUAGGCGGCUCGUUAAGUCGGAUGUGAAAGCCCUGGGCUCAACCCAGGAAGUGCAUACGAAACUGGCGAGCUUGAGUAUGGAAGAGGGUCGCGGAAUUCCCGGUGUAGAGGUGAAAUUCGUAGAUAUCGGGAGGAACACCAGUGGCGAAGGCGGCGACCUGGGCCAAUACUGACGCUGAGGUGCGAAAGCGUGGGGAGCAAACAGG